rnacentral:rRNA from 1 species
AUGUUAGGCUUGGCGGCAGGCCUAACACAUGCAAGUCGAGCGGUAGAGAGAAGCUUGCUUCUCUUGAGAGCGGCGGACGGGUGAGUAAUGCCUAGGAAUCUGCCUGGUAGUGGGGGAUAACGUUCGGAAACGAACGCUAAUACCGCAUACGUCCUACGGGAGAAAGCAGGGGACCUUCGGGCCUUGCGCUAUCAGAUGAGCCUAGGUCGGAUUAGCUAGUUGGUGAGGUAAUGGCUCACCAAGGCGACGAUCCGUAACUGGUCUGAGAGGAUGAUCAGUCACACUGGAACUGAGACACGGUCCAGACUCCUACGGGAGGCAGCAGUGGGGAAUAUUGGACAAUGGGCGAAAGCCUGAUCCAGCCAUGCCGCGUGUGUGAAGAAGGUCUUCGGAUUGUAAAGCACUUUAAGUUGGGAGGAAGGGCAUUAACCUAAUACGUUAGUGUUUUGACGUUACCGACAGAAUAAGCACCGGCUAACUCUGUGCCAGCAGCCGCGGUAAUACAGAGGGUGCAAGCGUUAAUCGGAAUUACUGGGCGUAAAGCGCGCGUAGGUGGUUUGUUAAGUUGGAUGUGAAAUCCCCGGGCUCAACCUGGGAACUGCAUUCAAAACUGACUGACUAGAGUAUGGUAGAGGGUGGUGGAAUUUCCUGUGUAGCGGUGAAAUGCGUAGAUAUAGGAAGGAACACCAGUGGCGAAGGCGACCACCUGGACUAAUACUGACACUGAGGUGCGAAAGCGUGGGGAGCAAACAGGAUUAGAUACCCUGGUAGUCCACGCCGUAAACGAUGUCAACUAGCCGUUGGAAGCCUUGAGCUUUUAGUGGCGCAGCUAACGCAUUAAGUUGACCGCCUGGGGGAGUACGGCCGCAAGGUUAAAACUCAAAUGAAUUGACGG